rnacentral:lncRNA from 1 species
AACUUCCGGAAGCUGCGGCAAUCUACCCGGCGAGGAAGUGGUUGCGACGAAUUACAAGUCCCUGCGUGCACUGCGAAGGCAGGCUUGGUUGGGGAGGAUGCCUAUUUAUCUUCGAGCCAGCCGCUUGGUUCGUUUCAAGUCCGGAAUGCUUCUGCGUUCGGAAUGACAGCUCUGCUACUUUGCAGUAGUAAAAAGAAACACAUUGCAAAUCUCACAGAGCCUUCCCUCCAAGAGCAGUCAGGCAUAUAGUUACAGAAUGUUUCCUUAGACCUCCGAUUGUCACCCGGAAGUGUUUGCUAAGUACCCUCCAGAUUGGACGCCACAUACAACGGAGAAUUUUUCUGGCCACAUAUAAAGGGAGUGGCGCCAUUUGGAGGUGUGACCUAGUUGGAGUAGGUGUGUCACUGUGGGUGUGGACUUAACACUCUCACCCUUGGUGCCUGGAAGUCAAUCUUCCACUAGCAGCCUUUGGAUGAAGACAUAGAAGGCUCAGCUCUGCCUGUGCCAUGCCUGCCUGGAUGCUGCUGUGCUCUCACCUUGAUGAUAAUGGACUGAACCACUGAACCUCCUGCGAAUCAAGAUGUAGAGCUCUCAGCUCCUACUCCAUCACCAUGUCUGCCUGCAUGCCACCAUGUUUCCUGCCAUGAACUAAAUAAUGAACUAAACCUCUGAACUGUAAGCCAGCCCCAAUUAAAUGUUCCUUUAAAGAGUUGCAAUGGCCA